rnacentral:rRNA from 1 species
GAUGAACGCUGGCGGCGUGCCUAAUACAUGCAAGUCGAGCGAACAGAUGAGGAGCUUGCUCCUCUGACGUUAGCGGCGGACGGGUGAGUAACACGUGGAUAACCUACCUAUAAGACUGGGAUAACUUCGGGAAACCGGAGCUAAUACCGGAUAAUAUAUUGAACCGCAUGGUUCAAUAGUGAAAGACGGUUUUGCUGUCACUUAUAGAUGGAUCCGCGCCGCAUUAGCUAGUUGGUAAGGUAACGGCUUACCAAGGCGACGAUGCGUAGCCGACCUGAGAGGGUGAUCGGCCACACUGGAACUGAGACACGGUCCAGACUCCUACGGGAGGCAGCAGUAGGGAAUCUUCCGCAAUGGGCGAAAGCCUGACGGAGCAACGCCGCGUGAGUGAUGAAGGUCUUCGGAUCGUAAAACUCUGUUAUUAGGGAAGAACAAAUGUGUAAGUAACUAUGCACGUCUUGACGGUACCUAAUCAGAAAGCCACGACUAACUACGUG